rnacentral:tRNA from 1 species
GGUUGUGACUCAGUGGUAGAGCACUCUCCUAGCACGUGCGGGGUGCUGGGUUCGAUCCUUAGUACCA